GGAAAAGCCCGUUGAUUAGACUUAUAAUUUUUUAUUUAAAAAAAAUAAGUGAGUAGGGAUAAAAACAUCAUUUUGUAACUAAUUGUAGGGAUGAAAAUAUCAUUUUGUAACUAUCAUAGGGGUAGAAAUGUCAUUUAAAAUAAAUUGUAGGGGCAAAAUGUUAUUUUGUAAUCAAGUUCCUGUUCUCAUUAAAAUUAAUGGCAAAGGUAAUGAAUUAUCACUGACUCUCGAAUAUUCUUGAAAAAUAUGUCACUUUUUUAAAAUUUGUCAAAACGUGUAUCUCAUAAGGAUAAUUAACCCUUAUUUUUUAUUAAGAGAGGAAUGUAAAGUCUAUUCAAAGAGACUAUAUGUGUUUAUGACAAUAUUUAAUCAAUUUUAGGUGUAUAAGCCAUAGAAAUAAUGAGCUCAAACCAAUACAGAAAACUAUAGAAAAUAAACUCUCAAGCCAUAUUACUUAAACCUAAUUUUCUAAUUUAAUUGAUGUAAAUUGUGUGCUCAUUUUUUAUAGUGUUAGAAUUGAUAGGUGCAAUUGCCGUGGAGUGUCAAUCUUUAUUAUUAGAAACCACAAUCCUAACUCUACGUUUUUUUGUUUUAAUGUGUUAUCAUAUUCAUUUUCCUUAAAUUCUUUUAAGUAUUGUUGAAUAUUACUCACGGAUUAGUAGAAAAUCAAAAUUGAUUUUUUUUAUUCAACAUUCUAAGCAAUCAAAUCGCUUGCAGUAUUGUAUUGAUACCGAGUUGGUUAAUGAUGCCCGACAACCAUAAAUUUAAGUAGUUAUCUAUUCCAAUUCUAAAAAAGUAAAUGCACCGUAAAUUUAAGUUCGGGUCUCUGUUUUGAGCUUGAAUGUUGGGGACUUCGGGUGCAAGUUUUGGUUUCAACCUCAAUCUCUCACUCUUUCAAUUCUGAAUGCUUGGCACCAUGUGUCAAUUCAUAACAAUUGUUGUAGAGUUAAGAUUAUGUAAAGGGUUAAUUUCGAAUUAUUUCUCUUUUAAAUUGACUAUAUUUAAAUCACAAUUCACAUCUCUUGUUUUUGAAAAUCUCAAUUUAACCUCCAUUUUUGUUAAGAAGAGAAAAAAAAAUCAUUACCCACUCCUAUUUUCCCUUAUUUUUUUGACUAAAUAUAAGGAUAAUCUAAGGUUUUAAAAAAUAAAGGAGGGAAUGAAAAUAGUUAAGAGGAUGGAAAUCUAAAAUUCACCCCAGUUAAAAUAACAAUGAUAAUUACCAUUAUAGUUAAAAUAACAUCACAAUUAUAACUAUAAUUGUAACUAUAAUGGUAAUUGAAAUAGUUUUUAUAAUUGUAAGUGUAAUAGGGCCGAACGUCCAUAGUCAAAAUUAAUAAAGAGAGGACAAAAAUGAAAAAAAAAAAUUACAGAUUGUUGCAGCAUAAAAAAUGAAGAAGAGGGUUUUUGUUUGGAAGAGAAUAAGGGGGAUGUAAACGUAAAUUUAUUUAAUGGUGUACGCCCAUAGCUAAUUUUUUUUUUACCCAGUCACCGACAUAUUUAUCCAAACAAUCUAAACCAUCGAUUGAAAGCAGCAUCGGACGGUUCUCGUUUGUUGUCUCCACGUUAGAAUUGUCUCCAACGUGGCUGCGAAUCCCUACAAAGAAACCGUUGAUUGACAAGGAAGUAUUGUAAAAAAGAAAACAGUUACAGAGAAAAAUUUGUAAAAAAUAAAAAAAAAACCGAAAUGCCUACAUUAUCGCUCCAAUUAAACAAUCACUUAAAAAUCAACGUGCAUAAUGAACGGGGUAGCCGCAACUGCCGCAAAAGCGCAAACCCUUCCUUAAAAUUGUACAAUGAAGAAGUUGCUUUCAAGCUCAAAACGCAAUUCACUUAGAGUGCCAGUAUCAACUCGGCGUCAGAUAAAAUCAUUUGCAGUGUUUCAAUAAAGACACACCGCGAGAAGAUCUGAAACUCUGGUAAAAUAUUCAAUCAUUUUUCAUUGUAUCAUUAUUUUUUUAAUUUUCUAUUUUAAUACAAAAACUAUACUACAAGGGCUCUAGAAAUCCUAUAGAUAAAAUUUAAAUAUACUAAAAGUAAACAUCCACAUGUAUACUUAACGAACACUAACACGUAUACAGAAUAAGAUAUUUAAAUUAGAAUCAUAAAAAUUUUGAUUAUAAUUAUUAAAAUUUUACCUAAAUAAUAUAACAAUAGCCAUCAUUGUGCCAUCAUUUUAAAUAAUUUAUUUUUCAAUAGUAUCAUUCAUAUUCUUUUCCAAAUUUAAUUAAUUUGGUAUUGAUAUAGCUAUGCUUAAUAAAUUAUUAAUUAUUUUCAUAUAACUACAAAUUCGCAUAAGGCCUCAAAUAUCUUUAAGCCGCCCCUAAGUAGUAGGGUGGGGUGUUUGGCCAUUUGUGAACAACAUUUACUGUAGAUGAAAAAAUUUGAACAAACUUCUGCUAGAGUUAGCUAUUGGUGGUUGGGGUUGCGCUAAUUCAUGAAACUCUAUUUAUUGUUUUUGAGUAAUAUGUUGGUAUUAUAACUUUUUCCCCUAUACUCGACUUUGGUUGUGUUAUUAUGUAAAAGUCAUGAGAGAGGAACCAAACGUAAAUAGAUAAUUUUUUUAGGUUAUUUUUGACUUUUUACACUUUCACGAGGUAUAUAUAUGUAAUCGGGUAUAGAUUUGGUAUUUAAGCACAAAUCAAAUAGGGCAUAUUUAAAUAUAAAAAAAACUUGCUUCUAUUGGCCUGAUUUGUGAGAAAAGAAACAUAUAUCUAUUUAGAUGCCCAUAUGAGAAAUAUGAGAAGGAAAAAAAUUUGGAUACUUGUCCAAUGAGUUACAAAAUUAUGUGCUUGGUGGCUCCAUAAAAAUAGUUGAAAUUAAAAUUUGAUAGGAAAGCCUUUAAUGGGAAUUGUGCGACAGAGGAAAGAACUUUUUUUCUUAGCAUUUUUGUUUUUUUUUUUUUGACUCAAGAGUCUAUGGAUCCUAAUUCUUAUUUCCUAUAUGAAUUGCAGACAACUUUGUUUAGUUCUCUUACUUGUAUUCUCAUUAACUAAAAGGGUAUGAAUUUGAUUGAGAAGUGUUCGUCUCUAUGAAAAAAUAAUAAUAAUAAAAGCAAAAUAAGCUGCUCAAUUAUUAUAAUAAAUGGUGUGCAAAAUUCUGUUUGUUCUAGUGCAUCUGUGCAUAGCUUGUCAAAAAAAUGCUGUUUGUUUAGCUGGGUGAAUAACCCUCACUAGGUUACUACUUUACUUUCUUUGUAAUAGGUCGCACAUUAGAAUUUCCUUGUUGAAAAUAAACUACUAGUUACCAAAUUGAAAAGUAGUACCAAUCAUCGCUGCAUACACUAUUAGCUUACCAGUUUCAUUGUUGGGUUUGCUGGUUAUAUUAUUGUUGCAAAGUAUGUUUUGAUAUUACUUAAUUUGUAGAGAAGAAAAAGGUAGCUUAGAGUUCCUUAAAUGCUAAGUUAAAGUUAAGUACGUUUAUCAAUUAGCCUUGAAUUUACAAACUUCAAAUUGUUUAAAAAAAAAAAGAGCUUACAAACUUGAAACCUCUAUUUUCAAUGAUUAAAUUCCAUGAGUGCUUUUUGUUUGUUUAUGAAAGGGUGAUGUCUCAUCACGGUUUUGUUGCUGCAAGUGCAUUAUUUUCUUUGUAGUAAAGUGAAUCUUUGAUGUAUUUAUUAAGUUUAAUGGAGCAAUCCUAGUUAAUUUUGAUGAUUUAUAUAUGCAUUUAAUUUCAUUUUUAAUAAUUCAUGUGCAGGAAUUUAUGGAUUCUUGGCUUUGCUUGGACUUAUGUUUUGCGCAAUUUCAUUUGGGAUCAAUCUACUUUUAAUAAUUCAUCUCCGCUGUUGGCACUCCGUCUCUGCUACCAUCUCUGCUCGCUGGUACCAGUCUUCAAUUUUUCGAUUUGAGUCAAUUGUGAGUGUGGUUCUUUUAGUUUAUUUUAGAUCCAAAUCAUAUUAGACAAAUAGGAUGAUUGUUUCUUGAGCUCUGCAUUUGUAUCUUAUUUUAGGACUAUUAGAGAAAGGAAUGAUUUGCUAUUGGGAGAAUUGUGUGGGAUAUACCCCAUUUCCUUCAAAAUACCUAAUAUAUACCUAAAAUUAUAACACUCUUAAAUUUCACACAUAUAUACUCUAAAAAAGUAGAGAAAGUACAAAAAUAACCACAAUUAAAUCCUCAUAAAACUAAACACAACUCCUCGAAGUCGGAUAAAUAGUCGAUAAUACUAGACUUCAAUCAAACCAUACACAAUUAGUAAUUCAGCAUAAAUUCUCGACUUUUUCAUGUUAGUCGGGUAAAUAGUAAAGAAUACUCAACUUCAAUUGAAAUAAAAAAUUAUCUGAAUUUUUUUUAAUUUUUUCAAAUAAGUCGAGUAAAGAGUUGAGAAUACCCGAAAUUUCAUUUGGAAAAGUUCGUUGUUUUGCGCAAUUUCAUUUGGGAUCAAUCUACUUUGAGGAUAAACACUUGUAGUUCAGAGUUAACAUUGUUGUAAUUAGAGCUUGUUUUCAUAAAAUAAGUGUAACUUGAAAGUACAUUGUACACUAUUGAAUUUGAUUUAUCUCCAGUAAGUGUUAAUGUAUGAUGUCUAUCAUGUAAUUUUUUUAUAAUUAUUUUAUUUAAUUU
rnacentral:lncRNA from 1 species